UACGUAGGGUGCGAGCGUUUAAUCGGAAUCACUGGGCGUAAAGGGUGCGUAGGCGGGUCUUUAAGUCAGGGGUGAAAUCCUGGAGCUCAACUCCAGAACUGCCUUUGAUACUGAGGAUCUUGAGUUCGGGAGAGGUGAGUGGAACUGCGAGUGUAGAGGUGAAAUUCGUAGAUAUUCGCAAGAACACCAGUGGCGAAGGCGGCUCACUGGCCCGAUACUGACGCUGAGGCACGAAAGCGUGGGGAGCAAACAGG
rnacentral:rRNA from 1 species